AUUGAACGCUGGCGGCAGGCCUAACACAUGCAAGUCGAACGGUAACAGGAAGAAGCUUGCUUCUUUGCUGACGAGUGGCGGACGGGUGAGUAAUGUCUGGGAAACUGCCUGAUGGAGGGGGAUAACUACUGGAAACGGUAGUUAAUACCGCAUAACGUCGCAAGACCAAAGAGGGGGACCUUCGGGCCUCUUGCCAUCGGAUGUGCCCAGAUGGGAUUAGCUAGUAGGUGGGGUAACGGCUCACCUAGGCGACGAUCCCUAGCUGGUCUGAGAGGAUGACCAGCCACACUGGAACUGAGACACGGUCCAGACUCCUACGGGAGGCAGCAGUGGGGAAUAUUGCACAAUGGGCGCAAGCCUGAUGCAGCCAUGCCGCGUGUAUGAAGAAGGCCUUCGGGUUGUAAAGUACUUUCAGCGGGGAGGAAGGGAGUAAAGUUAAUACCUUUACUCAUUGACGUUACCCGCAGAAGAAGCACCGGCUAACUCCGUG
rnacentral:rRNA from 1 species